rnacentral:lncRNA from 1 species
GCCUUAUCUGUCUAAUGAUUUUAAUGUACUUUCUUCAAAUUAGUCACUGUAGACGGUUGAUUUUAGGCUGCCAUAUAGCCUUUAGUUAAUUUUGGAGCAUGGAAAAUGAAUUGCUGGGUUUCAUUUAUUCAUUUAUUUAAGGGAUACUCAUAUAUGUUAGACACCAUCUAACAACAACAACAAAAACCAACAACAAUAAAAACUCCGUGUAAAGCAAGCCAGAUAGUAUCACUUUAGGAAUUAGCAGCAGCUGUUGCCAUUAGAGUGGAUAGGUUAAAAAUAACUCCAAGUUCUCUCUUGUUCCUUUUUUAACCUCUCCUUUGCAAUUAUGAAAUCCCAUUCAUCUAUGAUCCUCAAGCAUUCAUAUAAAUAUAUUUCAAAUAAAUGAAUCCUCAAACACGUAGGAGCUACAUGCUACUGCAAAUGAAAACAUUAAGGCACAAAGGAGGAAACUGACUUCGUUCAAGUAAUUUGACGACUGUGGCGCUCAAGCCGCAGAAUUAUCCGGGCAUGAAGUCUGCAAGCAGCUUGAUAAACACCUUCCGCCACGUUGAAGGGUUGUGGUCCUGGAGACGUGGCUGUCAGUGCAGAAUGACCCCAGCAAGCUUACCAGGGAGCAGAGCCAACUCCUAUGUGUUCCAAUACAUGCCACAGGGGAGCUCCUGCAAGUUUCCAUACACCAGGAGCUGUGAGAGACUCGGCAGUCCCUCAAGAUCAGGGAAAAAGGAAAGAAUGGAUAUCGGAACUGCAAGCCACUGUUGCGCAUUGCUUGAGCCCAUCGGAGAAUCAGACGAUAGCCUGUGUAGUUCCAGGCUGUACUUGCACAGCCCUUGAUAACCAACUGGACCUCAAAAGCUUGCCUCUUGAAAAACUUCUUGGGAUACACUCCUGGGAGAACUGAAUUUCCUAGAUGUCUCUCCAGACACGUAUAUGAUUCCUUUUAUUGGAAAAUAAACCUAUAUGGGGUGCCUGGGUGGCUCA